CUUGCUUCUCUUGAGAGCGGCGGACGGGUGAGUAAUGCCUAGGAAUCUGCCUGGUAGUGGGGGAUAACGUCCGGAAACGGACGCUAAUACCGCAUACGUCCUACGGGAGAAAGCAGGGGACCUUCGGGCCUUGCGCUAUCAGAUGAGCCUAGGUCGGAUUAGCUAGUUGGUGGGGUAAUGGCUCACCAAGGCGACGAUCCGUAACUGGUCUGAGAGGAUGAUCAGUCACACUGGAACUGAGACACGGUCCAGACUCCUACGGGAGGCAGCAGUGGGGAAUAUUGGACAAUGGGCGAAAGCCUGAUCCAGCCAUGCCGCGUGUGUGAAGAAGGUCUUCGGAUUGUAAAGCACUUUAAGUUGGGAGGAAGGGCAGUAAAUUAAUACUUUGCUGUUUUGACGUUACCGACAGAAUAAGCACCGGCUAACUCUGUGCCAGCAGCCGCGGUAAUACAGAGGGUGCAAGCGUUAAUCGGAAUUACUGGGCGUAAAGCGCGCGUAGGUGGUUCGUUAAGUUGGAUGUGAAAUCCCCGGGCUCAACCUGGGAACGGCAUUCAAAACUGACGAGCUAGAGUAUGGUAGAGGGUGGUGGAAUUUCCUGUGUA
rnacentral:rRNA from 1 species